rnacentral:rRNA from 1 species
UACCAGCACCCCGAGUGGUCGGGACGUUUAUUGGGCCUAAAGCAUCCGUAGCCGGUUCUACAAGUCUUCCGUUAAAUCCAGCUGCUUAACAGAUGGGCUGCGGAAGAUACUAUGGAGCUAGGAGGCGGGAGAGGCAAGCGGUACUCGAUGGGUAGGGUAAUCCGUUUGAUCCAUUGAAGACCACCAGUGGCGAAGGCGACUUACUGGACACAUAUUUGACGCUGAGGUGCGAAAGCGUGGGAGCAAACAGG